rnacentral:piRNA from 1 species
UGCCACAGUCUAGAUUCUAUGUACUUG